rfam:Triticum aestivum genome assembly, contig: Triticum_aestivum_CS42_TGACv1_scaffold_643827_T_1DL-0.154836_1AL-0.133076
AAACCCAUUUGGGCGAGAGUAGUACUAGGAUGGGUGACCUCCUGGGAAGUCCUCGUGAAAGGGUUUC